AAAAAAAAAAAAAAAAAAAAAGACAAAGUAAAGAGAACCGUUUUGCUGUCCGAUUCCGCCAAUCUUCGAACAAAUGGCAAAAGUAAUGCGCAAGAUCAGAAGAACAAGGACGGUACAGACUCGCAGUUAUCCUGAGAUGCACAAGAUCCCAUGCCGGGCAUGCAUGCGGUGUUCCCGAACCAGAAUAUUGUCGCAGCUUGUAAUCCACGUUCUGGGAC